GACGAACGCUGGCGGCGUGCCUAAUACAUGCCAGUAGAACGCACAGUUUAUACCGUAGCUUGCUACACCAUAGACUGUGAGUUGCGAACGGCUGAGUAACGCGUAGGUUACCUGCCUGGUAGCGGGUGAUAACUAUUGGAAACGAUAGCUAAUACCGCAUAAUCUUGAUUAUUGCAUGAUAAUUGAUUGAAAGAUGCUAUUGCAUCACUACCAGAUGGACCUGCGUUGUAUUAGCUAGUAGGUGAGGUAACGGCUCACCUAGGCCAAGAUACAUAGCCGACCUGGUGGGGUGGUCGGCCCCACUGGGACGGGGACACGGCCCAGACUCCCUCGGGGGGGAGCAAGAGGGAAACUUCGGCAAUGGAGGAAAGUCUGACCGAGCAACGCCGCGUGAGGUAAGAAGGUUCUCGGGUCGUAAAGCUCUGUUGUAAGGGAAGAACGGGUGUGAGAGUGGAAAGUUCACACUGUGACGGUAUCUUACCAGAAAGGGACGGCUAACUACGUG
rnacentral:rRNA from 1 species